GCCUGGGUGGCUUAGUCGGUUGAGCAUCCGACUUCGGCUCAGGUCAUGAUCUCGCAGUUUGUGGGUUCGAGCCCCGCGUCAGGCU
rnacentral:tRNA from 1 species